AACGCGAAGAACCUUACCUACCCUUGACAUCCUUAGAAUCCUGUAGAGAUAUGGGAGUGCUUCGGAACUAAGAGACAGGUGCUGCAUGGCUGUCGUCAGCUCGUGUCGUGAGAUGUUGGGUUAAGUCCCGUAACGAGCGCAACCCCUAUACUUAGUUGCUAAUUACGCGAGUAAUGCACUUUAAGUAGACUGCCGGUGACAAACCGGAGGAAGGUGGGGAUGAUGUCAAGUCAUCAUGGCCCUUAUGGGUAGGGCUACACACGUGCUACAAUGGGCAGUACAGAGGGUGUUGAAACCGCGAGGUGGAACAAAUCUCACAAAGCUGUUCGUAGUCCGGAUUGGAGUCUGCAACUCGACUCCAUGAAGUUGGAAUCGCUAGUAAUCGCAAAUCAGCAUGUUGCGGUGAAUACGUUCCCGGGCCUUGUACACACCGUAGAGAC
rnacentral:rRNA from 1 species